rnacentral:sRNA from 1 species
AGCGCGGAGCACCUGCGCCCGGGGAGCACACCUUCGCUCGCAGUUUACUCGCACACCAGUUUCCCGCCGCCGCGCUUGGGGAUUAGUGUGAUCUCAGCUCAAGGCAAAGGUGGGAUAUCAUGGCAUCUAUCUGGGUUGGACACCGAGGAACAGUAAGAGAUUAUCCAGACUUUAGCCCAUCAGUGGAUGCUGAAGCUAUUCAGAAAGCAAUCAGAGGAAUUGGAACUGAUGAGAAAAUGCUCAUCAGCAUUCUGACUGAGAGGUCAAAUGCACAGCGGCAGCUGAUUGUUAAGGAAUAUCAAGCAGCAUAUGGAAAGGAGCUGAAAGAUGACUUGAAGGGUGAUCUCUCUGGCCACUUUGAGCAUCUCAUGGUAGCCCUAGUGACUCCACCAGCAUUCUUUGAUGCAAAGCAGCUAAAGAAAUCCAUGAAGGUAUGAGCCCCCCACAAACCAUUUCUGCCCAGGGUUUGACCGAGUCAUCAAAAAUAGUGACUUUCUUGCAGUGCACACUUGUGAUGGGUGGACUUGGAUGCCAUUUUGGUCUGUACUCUCCCAGUGGUAGA